rnacentral:rRNA from 1 species
UACGUAGGGGCAAGCGUUGUCCGGAUUUAUUGGGCGUAAAGAGCGUGUAGGCGGUUAGGUAGGUCCGUUGUGAAACUCGAGCUCAACCUCGAGACGCCGAUGGAAACCAUCUGACUAGAGUCCGGAAGAGGAGAGUGGAAUUCCUGGUGUAGCGGUGAAAUGCGCAGAUAUCAGGAAGAACACCCGUGGCUAAGGCGGCUCUCUAGUACGUGACUGACGCUGAGACGCGAAAGCGUGGGGAGCGAACAGG